CGGCCGCAAGGCUAAAACUCAAAGGAAUUGACGGGGGCCCGCACAAGCGGCGGAGCAUGCGGAUUAAUUCGAUGCAACGCGAAGAACCUUACCAAGGCUUGACAUAUACGAGAACGCUGCAGAAAUGUAGAACUCUUUGGACACUCGUAAACAGGUGGUGCAUGGUUGUCGUCAGCUCGUGUCGUGAGAUGUUGGGUUAAGUCCCGCAACGAGCGCAACCC
rnacentral:rRNA from 1 species